UCGGCGCGUAUCGCCUUACUGCUCAGUAACACGUGGACAACCUACCCUUAGGUCGGGGAUAAACCCGGGAAACUGGGUAUAAUACCCGAUAGAUCUCGACUGCUGGAAUGCAUCGAGAUCCAAAGCUCCGGCGCCUAAGGAUGGGUCUGCGGCCUAUCAGGUAGUAGUGGGUGUAGCGUACCUACUAGCCUACGACGGGUACGGGUUGUGAGAGCAAGAGCCCGGAGAUGGAUUCUGAGACACGAAUCCAGGCCCUACGGGGUGCAGCAGGCGCGAAAACUUUACAAUGCUGGAAACAGCGAUAAGGGGACCUCGAGUGCCAGGUUACAAAUCUGGCUGUCGUGAUGCCUAAAAAGCAUUGCAUAGCAAGGGCCGGGCAAGACCGGUGCCAGCCGCUGCGGUAACACCGGCGGCUCGAGUGGUAACCGUUAUUAUUGGGUCUAAAGGGUCUGUAGCCGGCCGGAUAAGUCUCUUGGGAAAUCUGGCAGCUUAACUGUCAGGCUUUCAGGAGAUACUGUCUGGCUCGAGGCCGGGAGAGGUGGGAGGUACUUCAGGGGUAGGGGUGAAAUCUUGUAAUCCUUGAAGGACCACCAGUGGCGAAGGCGUCUCACCAGAACGGACCUGACGGCAAGGGACGAAAGCUAGGGGCACGAACCGGAUUAGAUACCCGGGUAGUCCUAGCCGUAAACGAUACUCGCUAGGUGUCGGCCACGGUGCGACCGUUGUCGGUGCCGUAGGGAAGCCGUGAAGCGAGCCACCUGGGAAGUACGGCCGCAAGGCUGAAACUUAAAGGAAUUGGCGGGGGGAGCAC
rnacentral:rRNA from 1 species